CCCUUAGACGUUCUGGGCCGCACGCGCGCUACACUGACCAGUGCAACAAGCAUCCGUCCUUGGCCGACAGGCCCGGGCAAUCUUUGAACGCUGGUCGUGAUGGGGAUAGACUUUUGCAAUUUUUGGUCUUCAACGAGGAAUUCCUAGUAAACGCAAGUCAUCAACUUGCAUUGAUUACGUCCCUGCCCUUUGCACACACCGCCCGUCGCACCUACCGAUUGAAUGGUCCGGUGAAGCCUCCGGAUUGGCGCGCACCUCGGUGCCGCCGAGAAGUUGGCUAAACCUUACCAUUUAGAGGAAGGUGAANUCGUANCA
rnacentral:rRNA from 1 species